CGGGUGGUAAUGCCGGAUGCUCCAUCACACCGCAUGGUGUGUUGGGAAAGCCUUUGCGGCAUGGGAUGGGGUCGCGUCCUAUCAGCUUGAUGGCGGGGUAACGGCCCACCAUGGCUUCGACGGGUAGCCGGCCUGAGAGGGCGACCGGCCACAUUGGGACUGAGAUACGGCCCAGACUCCUACGGGAGGCAGCAGUGGGGAAUAUUGCACAAUGGGCGCAAGCCUGAUGCAGCGACGCCGCGUGAGGGAUGGAGGCCUUCGGGUUGUAAACCUCUUUUGUUAGGGAGCAAGGCACUUUGUGUUGAGUGUACCUUUCGAAUAAGCACCGGCUAACUACGUGCCAGCAGCCGCGGUAAUACGUAGGGUGCAAGCGUUAUCCGGAAUUAUUGGGCGUAAAGGGCUCGUAGGCGGUUCGUCGCGUCCGGUGUGAAAGUCCAUCGCUUAACGGUGGAUCCGCGCCGGGUACGGGCGGGCUUGAGUGCGGUAGGGGAGACUGGAAUUCCCGGUGUAACGGUGGAAUGUGUAGAUAUC
rnacentral:rRNA from 1 species